CAUCAUCCUCCAGGAAGUGACAACAUUUUGGAGGGAAAGCACCAGCACAAACAUCUGUUAACACAGUUACUCUGAUAAGAGUGCCAAUCAUCUAUGUAAAUUGCAUACAGUAUUCCUGGGGGAAGUCACAUUUGCCAAACGAAUCGGCUGUUUGAUAGACUGCUUCCUCUGUUACCACAGCGACCGUGCACACCACCUCUGGGUUCCCCUGCACCUGGCACUGGGAGAUCACGCGCCACAUGAACCCUUAAUUCCAGGAAUGAUGGCCUUGUGGGAUUCAGCCUUAUCGGAACAUGGGACCUCUUCGGGUUGCCUCUACAAAAGCCACCAAUCAGGUAAUAAUCCUCUAAUGCCUGCAGAGCUAAUCAGCCUCUACGCCAGCGCCCGCUGCCAGGCCUCUUUGCUGCUGUUGGCAUCGGGUUCUGGCUGAAGUUUCCA